rnacentral:pre_miRNA from 1 species
AAAAAGUCAAACCCUGGUUUCCGUGCCCAACAUUUGACCGUCCGUCUUAUUUGAAAAAAUUAUAAAAAAAAUUAAAAAGACAAUUCACGCACAAAGUAUUAAUCAUGUUUUAUCAUCUAACAACAAUAAAAAUACGAAUUAUAAAAAAAUUUCAUAUAAGACGGACAGUCAAAGUUGGACACGNNNNNN